CGAUUGNGAAGGCAGCUUGCUGGACUGUAACUGACGCUGAGGCACGAAAGCGUGGGGAUCAAACAGGAUNAGAUNCCNNGGUANNCCACGCCNUAAACGAUGANUGCUAGCUGUUAGCGAUAUACUGUNAGCGGCACAGAGAAAUCGUUAAGCAUUCCACCUGGGGAGUACGCCGGCAACGGUGAAACUCAAAGGAAUUGACGGGGGCCCGCACAAGCGGAGGAACAUGUGGUUUAAUUCGAUGAUACGCGAGGAACCUUACCUGGGCUUAAAUUGCAGUGGAAUAACGUGGAAACAUGUUAGCCUUCGGGCCGCUGUGAAGGUGCUGCAUGGUUGUCGUCAGCUCGUGCCGUGAGGUGUCGGCUUAAGUGCCAUAACGAGCGCAACCCACAUCGAUAGUUACUAACAGGUUAAGCUGAGGACUCUAUCGAGACUGCCAGCGUAAGCUGUGAGGAAGGUGUGGAUGACGUCAAAUCAGCACGGCCCUUACGUCCGGGGCGACACACGUGUUACAAUGGGAGGUACAAAGGGCAGCUACCUGGCGACAGGAUGCUAAUCUCUAAAACCUUUCUCAGUUCGGAUUGGAGUCUGCAACUCGACUCCAUGAAGCUGGAUUCGCUAGUAAUCGCGCAUCAGCCAUGGCGCGGUGAAUACGUUCCCGGGCCUUGUACACACCGCCCGUCAAGCCAUGGAAGCUGGGGGUGCCUGAAGUAUGCAACCGCAAGGAGCGUCCUAGGGUAAAACCGGUAACUGGGGCU
rnacentral:rRNA from 1 species